GAAAGAGAGGGAUAGACCAAAUACUUUUCAAGAAGGCAAUGCUGGCAGAUGGUUCAGCAUGCUGGACAGGAAUGUCAUGAGUUACAAGUACUGGCAGAUGUUCCACUAAUUUCCACAGCUGAGAUGCAAGUGGCCCAGCUAACCUGGGCCCCAUCCAGGACUCAGUGGGAAUGUUUCCAGCAUCAGGUCUCUUCAAAGAUGGACCCUUUUCUCAAGAAGACCCUGUUACCCAAGAAGAGGCCUCUAGUCCUAAAGAGACCUCUCUUGUAACCAGGCGCCAUGCCAGCCUUUGCACAGUACCAGUCUCUCGGACUGGGUGGAGGCCCUGCCUCUUUUUUAGACUACCAGGGCUUGCAGCCUCUGCAAGAGAGGAUUCUGCAACUCUCUCUUAGGGCCCCAGAUCCUCAGUGACUCCCUUUUCCUCCGAGCCAUCUGAUGCCAUAAGGUCAGGGUCCAUCAGAUGAGGACGGCUCCAGUGGAGCAUAACACUCUUGAAUCAACUGCUGAAUGCUGCCAGGAAAAAGCCCCCAUCAACUUCAUGAGAAGGGACUGUAAAGACCAGUGGGUUUAGUCCUCUUUGAUUCCUUUUUGAAAUGGCAAAGCAAAGAGUCCUAAACUUUCUAUCUGUGCCUGGAUCUGAAAUUAGUGGUGCUACGACCACAGAACUGGGUGAUUUAAUAAAUGACUUUGCAAUGCA